UGAUACCUGCUUGGAGAAUCUGGUC
rnacentral:piRNA from 1 species